rnacentral:rRNA from 1 species
CGGAAUAACUGGGCGUAAAGGGCACGCAGGCGGUGACUUAAGUGAGGUGUGAAAGCCCCGGGCUUAACCUGGGAAUUGCAUUUCAUACUGGGUCGCUAGAGUACUUUAGGGAGGGGUAGAAUUCCACGUGUAGCGGUGAAAUGCGUAGAGAUGUGGAGGAAUACCGAAGGCGAAGGCAGCCCCUUGGGAAUGUACUGACGCUCAUGUGCGAAAGCGUGGGGAGCAAACAGGAUUAGAUACCCUGGUAGUCCACGCUGUAAACGAUGUCGAUUUGGGGGUUGAACUUUAGGUUUGGCGCCCGUAGCUAACGUGAUAAAUCGACCGCCUGGGGAGUACGGCCGCAAGGUUAAAACUCAAAUGAAUUGACGGGGGCCCGCACAAGCGGUGGAGCAUGUGGUUUAAUUCGAUGCAACGCGAAGAACCUUACCUACUCUUGACAUCCAGAGAACAUUC